AAAGGAUUAGUUAAUAAUAUAACAUCAAAAUGUCAAAUUGAAAUAAUCCUCAAUGGAUAUCCUUUU
rnacentral:tRNA from 1 species